rnacentral:rRNA from 1 species
UACACAUGCAGUCGAACGGGAUCCAGGCAGCUUGCUGUCUGGUGAGAGUGGCGAACGGGUGAGUAAUGCGUGACCAACCUGCCCCAUGCUUCGGAAUAGCUCCUGGAAACGGGUGGUAAUGCCGGAUGCUCCGCACUGUCGCAUGAUGGUGUGGGAAAGGGUUUACCGGCAUGGGAUGGGGUCGCGUCCUAUCAGCUUGUUGGCGGGGUGAUGGCCUGCCAAGGCUUCGACGGGUAGCCGGCCUGAGAGGGCGACCGGCCACAUUGGGACUGAGAUACGGCCCAGACUCCUACGGGAGGCAGCAGUGGGGAAUAUUGCACAAUGGGCGAAAGCCUGAUGCAGCGACGCCGCGUGCGGGAUGACGGCCUUCGGGUUGUAAACCGCUUUUGAUUGGGAGCAAGCGAGAGUGAGUGUACCUUUCGAAUAAGCACCGGCUAACUACGUGCCAGCAGCCGCGGUAAUACGUAGGGUGCAAGCGUUAUCCGGAUUUAUUGGGCGUAAAGAGCUCGUAGGCGGUUCGUCGCGUCUGGUGUGAAAGUCCAUCGCUUAACGGUGGAUCGGCGCCGGGUACGGGCGGACUGGAGUGCGGUAGGGGAGACUGGAAUUCCCGGUGUAACGGUGGAAUGUGUAGAUAUCGGGAAGAACACCGAUGGCGAAGGCAGGUCUCUGGGCCGUCACUGACGCUGAGGAGCGAAAGCGUGGGGAGCGAACAGGAUUAGAUACCCUGGUAGUCCACGCCGUAAACGGUGGAUGCUGGAUGUGGGGCCCGUUCCACGGGUUCCGUGUCGGAGCUAACGCGUUAAGCAUCCCGCCUGGGGAGUACGGCCGCAAGGCUAGAACUCA